UCUUAGACUGCCUUCUCAUCUCUCCUCGAUGCUUCACAGUUCAUCUUCUAUGGCACCUGCUGGCUCUCCUCUCUACCUCAGAUUUUCCAUCAGAUCCCACCUCCCCACAUCUCCCUAAUCGCGAGCCUGCGAUCCGCCGCGACUUCCCGCUGCAUGCGCAGGUUGGUUUCCUUGUUUUGUUAACGGAGAUCGAUGGUGUGGCCGGCGACUUGCUGGAGUUCGAGGACGAGCUGCAACGGAUCCGGUCCAGCUCGACGACGUCAACGCCGGCGAGCCAUCUUCCGCGACGCAGCGCGGCGACGCGUGCGGCCGCAUCGAGGAGCUAGUGCGGUUACCUGGCGGACGCGACGCGCUAUUGAGCGCGCCGUGGAGGUCCGCCGUGAGGCGCAGUUCGACGCGUCCAUAGCGUCCCGCCGCCGCAGCCAGCGUCCUCCUACGUGUCCGAAGCCUCCGCGAGUGAGCGCACGCCGAGGUGCCACCGCCAGAUCCUCGAGUUCUAGGCCGCCGCGGCCUCGGCCGUCACAGCGUCCGCGGCACCCGCCCCGGCCGACCAUCGCCGCCACGCUAGGGAGGCCGAGCUCUCUGAGAUGGCAUCCGCGCGUGCGGCCGUGUUCCGGGAGUUGUCGCCGGCGCUCUCCGACGCCUCCUCGUCCGUUGCUGCCUCCGUCGGCACACCCACUGACAUCCCGCCAUUCGGGACCCCGGGCAUCGUCGCUCAUCUAGCGCUGGCGCGAGAUCGAGCUCCGGCUGCGGCGAACCACGUCGGUCUGUUUCUCCCGGAACCACUUCCCGCUGCACUACGCCGCCAUCUCCGAGUCCAGCGUCCCCGCGGAGCUCUUGCAGUGUUCCACCGUCGAGUGCGUCGUCGGUGGUGCCGCCGGUGCCCCCCAGGAAGGCCGUCUGCUGAUCUGCAUACUUCCCAUCACUAAUCAGCAAUCUCUCCUUGCUACCAAUGAACGGAUCCACUCAUUCUUCUUCCAAUUCAGGGUCCAAGUUCAGACCUUUUUGGGCUCCCUCUUAAAGCACGAACGGCCAGCUUGAUAGGGACUGCGAUUGUGCCGGAAGGUGUCUGGAUCGAGCUCUCACGAUGCAAUUGCCGCCAUCCUUCAGGCAGUUUCAUUUAAUGCCAAGGGAGCCACAGGAACAACAUCCGGGCAGCACAAUGCCAGCAGCUGCACCGCUACAACUCCAUCCCCUGCUGCCUGCAGGUGCUUCGUCCAUGUAGGAUUUACGCCAUGUGUUUGAUGGUUUGCUUGUGCAACCUGUGCUUCGGCCAUGGAAUAUGCGGGCUAUUUGUUUAAUGGUUUACCUCUGCAACACUGAUCAAUUAACCAUGCUAAGAUUUAGCUAACAAGGAGUCCUAUUUGAUGAAAAGAAGACACAUUCAGGCUACUUGCCUUGCGUAAGAGAUUUUCUGGCCAUAUUUGUACCACCAAUUCUAGCUAAGGAGGGUUCAUGGUUGUAAAGAUUGGGAUAUACACAUAUGCAGAUUGGUAUUUGCACCUUCAGGUAUCUUUCGGACAAUUGGUUCAAUAGAACCAUGCAAAACUCACCACAAAAAAAGGAUUCAUUUUUCAACAAAAGUAUUUCACAUUAUUUUUUUUGGUUGCAUAUGCAUAAUUAUGGCAGGAGACAAGGGAAAAGGGAGGUUGCUUAAAAGCUCCUUCAGUUUGCGGAAAAUCUUUAUUUAUGUCAAUCUUUACUAAGCUAAUUACAUAUUUGAUUUUAAUUACCAGCUCUGAUUUUAACUUUUUACCUACAUUUAUUUUCUUAGCUCUUAUUUUUCAUGGACAGGGAGAUACUAUUUGUGGUACUAAUUCUAGAGAGGUCCAGUUAGAAUGGACAAGUUCACGUCUUGCCUGAUCUUUGCAGAGGGCACUGGUAGGAUGAGCCUAACAUGUAGCUCAGCAGUGCAAGGUGGAAUGAGUGACUGCAGCUAGAUCAGUAGUGUGCAAUGUGGUGAUGUGUGGAGAUGCAAUAGUAGGAGACAGAAAAAGCUGCUUACUUCCAGCUGAUCAUGUGAAACCAGGUACGAAAGAGUGUGAAACCGUAGAAACAAUUUGUCCUUUGUAUGACCACUGAAAACACGUACUAUGCUCUGCUGAAAGAUGAGUAGUGCCAUUCAGCAGUUUGAAAGAAAAAUCUUUAUUAUCAUCGCAUCACGUACUAUGCUCUGGACAUUUCUAUUUAUUACUAUUUUAUUUCUUCCGAAAUUCCCGCCUAAUAACUAUUUUACUAAUGGUGCUAAUUGUUGCAAUCGAACGGAUAAGAUCGACUCAUGUCCAAUCGUAAAAUGGGCGUGCCAUCGCUUUAGUUGUGCUCGAUUGUGGUUAUCACCAGGUUCACUCGCUAGCUCCUUUUUACUUUUCCUCUUCCCCUUUCGCAUUUCUCUCCUCGUCGCGAUUGAGAUCCGGAUCGAGCAUUCCUAGCGGCAUGCCGGCGGAGGCCAGCAGGCAGAGGCGUAGAGCGCAGAGGCGUGCGGCCCCUGGCAGCGGAGCGGAGGCACGUUGGAGCCUGCGCCCCUCCCUCAGUCAUGUGCGUGUGCCGCCAUGGUGGCUCCGCCCAAGGCCAUGGUGGCGAACUGAAUGCUGAAGCAGGCUUCUGACGAGUCACCGGUGCCAACACCCCUUGCCAUCCCUGCCUCUCACGUCCCUCUCCUCAGGUUCCAGCCUCCUGGUACUACUUGCUACUCCUUCCUCUCCUCUGCCUUGUUAAUUACUUUGGUAGAUCCGGAUGAGAUAUUGGAUUUAUGCAGGUUGUGUCAGCAAAUGACGAGGAAAUUUAGGAUUUCCUCUUGUUUAAUCUGUGAUGCAGUCAGCCUGUGCUUUUGCUUUAAGUAUUUGUGGAUUUUGAGUUUAGUGUUUGUUUGAUUUCAAGUCUGUUGUUGAUGGAAUGGCAUAUUUGGGUGUCGAUUUGGUGCUUGCUAUGUCAAUUUUGGGGCUUUUCAUAUGUGUUCUGCACAACAUUGGUUUGAGUACAGAGAUAGGUGACGAAAGUUCAGAGCAGCAUGACCGCCAGACACAUAUAAUCUGAGUUGUGUGUGUGCGCGCGCGCUCAAUUUUAACUUAGUUUCCUAUGUUGUUCGGUGGUGUCACUGACAACCUUAUUCUGAUUUUACUUUCAGCAUAAGCAUGUGGAUCAAGUUGUCUUUCUCGCUUGCCUGAUACAUUAAGCACAGACUUUCUGAACUGAUUUCAAGCCUGAGGUAUGGUUACACAGAGGCUUAGAAUUUUGUGAGCAUGUGAAAGGCAUAACUAGUUUUUUAGUGUUCCCAGUUUGUGACCUGAUCAAUGAUGGAUCUAGACAUAGGCUGCUAUGAUCUGUUUUUCAUUUCAUUUGGGUGAGAGCUGGUUGUGUAGUUAAUAUAGAUAUAUUAGCAAAUGGGCGUGUCAUGUUUGAAUAAGUUUUGAGUUUUAUGUUUCCUGAAAUCCUCUUGAAGUGGCAUUAGUCCUUGUAAAUUUGAUCAUCGUUUCAGUAAUCCUUAUGUUAAGUUAGAAAAGUUGUAUCAUGAAUUAAUAUAAAUAACAGGGUUGCAGAUCGUGUAAUUUUAGUGCUAAAUUUGUGUAUCUAUAUUACCUUGUAUUCCCAUUAUAUCCUCAUCUUGUUGUCCCCCAAACAGAAAAGGCAGCUAUGUAUAUUUCAAAAUGGAGUGGAUUUAUUUUUUAUUUUUAGGCUGUAUUCUUAUCCCUCCUUUCUAGGGGUUCACAAAAUUAGACUUCUAUUUCUAUCUAGCUUAAAUUUGGCUUUGGUAUCUAUUCUUUUGUAUUGUGAAGGGUUCACCAGAUUGAACUUUGUGAAGGGUUCACCAAGUUAAGUUUUUGUAUUAUUAAAAUAUUCCUUUGAGGGAUCCACGGACAAGACUUUUCAACUCUUUUAGCUUGUCAUUUGAAGGGUUCAUCGGUGUUUUUUAUUACUAUUUAUCUUACCAUGAAAUUUAUAUCUAUUAUUUUUACGUGAAGCUGUAAUUUUUUUUUCCAAAUAAAAGAUUGAGAUUGAUGGUCCAAAAAUAAUUGAAUAUCCCUUGUUCUAAGAUUACACCAUUUGUGCUGCUGUAAUUUGUAUACUUAUCCAUUUCAAUAUACUUAUUGGGUACUCCAGUUCUGUAAAUCUCAAUUGUAGUAAUUUUUUUUCUUAUACUACAUGCCAUCUGAAUUGUUUUAUAGUAUUAGAUGCCAAAAAAAUCACCUAUUAUGAAUGUUGAAUAUUAUUAUUGAUGUUUAUUUUUGUACUAUAAUCUUAUAGCUAGCAGUACCAUAAUCUUGACACUAAAUUUGAAUGUUUUCUUGCUUUUUUGCUUGACUGUGGAUUAGAGGUUGUAAAGGAAGGCUUUUAGCCACCGUUCGUGCUUAAUUUUCCUUUUGAAUUUUUUGUUCGUCCCAAUGAUUGUAUUUUGUUCAUCAAUUGUCUGCGGUUAUAAGGAAAAUUCUCUGGAAUGAAUUAAUGCUAUUUUACAGACAACAAAUUUGAUCAUACGGAAAUACCACUGUAUAUUUUUAGUUUACAGAAAAUAAAUACAACCAUAGAUUACUGGUAUAGUAGCGGCAUAUGUGUAAUUUUAUACUAUGAUGCCGUAAGGGUUUGAUUGGUUGGCUACUAAAAAGUGGGCAUGCCAAAAUGUGGGCAUGCCAAAAUAUGGGCAUGCCAAUCUUUUUGCAAUUUUAGAAGGUGGGCUACUCUUUGGAUUUCAACCAAACAAGUGCCAAAAUCUUUGGCAUGCCCACAUUUUGGCAUGACAAAUUUUGGUAGCCAACCAACCAGGCCCUAAAAUUUUGAAGUAAGAAUAUAUAAACCACUUUGACGUGUAGAUGGUGUCCGAGGAUUCCACUUCAAAGGUGAUGGUCCUGCUAGUGAGGGUCUUUGAUCAAUAUUUGCAUGCCACCCCUUUCAAGUGGACAAGGUGAAGGGUACUUGUGUAACGUUGGAUUUUCUAUUCUUUUAGGGUGUUUAUGUAUAACAAUCAAUCUAUUUUGCAAGUGUUUAGCAAAGCCAUACAAAUCUUUUUAUGUACAAUAUAUUUCCUUUUGUAAGUGUGUAGUAAGCUACGGAAAUACAAUUUUCAUGUGACACUGGUUAAGUGUGACUGGUUUUUAAUUUUUUUCAGAGGCUGUCUACAAGAAUGAUGUUACACUAAGCUUGAAAAUUAAAGACUGGCAUUUUAGAGCAACUUGUGCCACCUAAAAGGAUUUUACUUCCAAUUCAUGUUUUGCCACCCCUGCAACUAUUGACUUCAUAAUUCAUCUUUGUCAAGCAUAUUAAGUCUACAGUGCUGUUAUGAUCUUCAGCUGUCACAUCAAUAUAUUUACCAUUUUAAGUUUGGAUGCUUGCAAUACAUUUAAUCAUUUCCCAAAGAGGUAGCCUUAUUGUGUUCUCCACUUCUCCGUGUGUCUUGAAGAGAUGAAGUAGCUGAUUGCAGCAUCAAGGCAUAUGAUUUGUUGCAAAGAAAAUUUGUAUAUAACUUUUUAUUUGUUGUUUUUAUCUGUAUUUUGUUGUCAGCCCAAACAUUUACAUGUAAUUUUUUUAUUUGUUGUUUUUAUCUGUAUUUUGUUGUCAGCACAUGUAACUUUUGUAUCUGUAUUUUUAUGUAACUCUUUUAUUUGUUGUUUUUAUCUGUAUUUUUUUGUCAGCACAUGUAACUUUUGUAUCUGUAUUUUUAUUGUCAGCCUAAGAAUUUACAUGUAAAUUUUUUAUUUGUGUUUUUUCCUAUAUUUUUGUCAGUCUAAAAUUUGCAUGUAAUUUUUUAUUUAUUGUUAUAUUUUGGCCUUGUCUGUACUUUAGCUGGUAAAAAGUAGAAAUCCACUAACAAAUAGGGAAGUUAGCUUGCUGGGCUGGGAUGACUGCUAGAUACGUGAGCCUGUAGAGAUUUUAUUUAUUUAUUUUUAUAUAUAUAUAUAUCUUUUUACGAUUUUGCAGAAAUAUACCUGAUAGUGAAAAAUUAGCAGGACUAUACUCCUGCCACCUUGAACCGGCUAUAGGAGUAAAUACCGCUGUUUGGGUUGGCUGUUGGAGUGCUAGGUCCAGCGUUAGACCUUACCGCCGUUUGAAAUGGCUAUAGCCAUUUGAAAUGAUGGUACUGAUGGUAAGGGGUCUGUUUCUUCCUAUCUGUGUGAAAUCUAUUUGGCGAGAUAAAACGUCAUUUAAAUUGGCUAUAGGCGAAUGAAACGGUGGUAAAUGUCCAUAUUUACAAGAGAUAAUCCAAUAAUCUAAAUUUGAAUAUUUGUAGCAGAUUCUUCUAUCGAAUCAAUAAUAUUUCAUGAAAUCAAAUUGUGAAAAUCUUAAAUAGUUGUAUAGUUUUAAAACUAUAAGAUAUAAUAGUAGUUCAAAUAGGCUUUGCAAAUGAAAUAAUUGCGCGUAUGAAACUACCAGCACAAGAAUCUAGCCUUUUUAGUGUGUGUUAGUGUGUUUUCAAAUAGGCCUUUUAGUUUAAUUUGAAAUAGUCUUUUCAGUCUGAUUUCGAAUAAUCUUUCCAGUAUCCUUCGAAAUAGGCUUUUCAGGUCCUUCGAAAUAGGCUUUUCAGUACAGGGGCGUAGCCUUUUCAGGUACAUUUAUGCCUCCACACAUCUACCUCCAUCUAUAUAUACGCAUUGCUGGAUGCAUUACUACUAACUUCAAACGAGAGAUAUCUUAGUAAAAAUAUCUGGAGGGUCGUCUAGUGGAAAUGAUUUUGGUACUAGGAGAGGAAAAGGGGGAACGAAAGGACCUCCUAUUGUGUAGGAGGGGUCUGUUGGUUUUGAUUCCUAUUCGGAAGCGGUGUUUGAGUUUCUAGAAGAGAGCAAAAGUGAUUUCACCAACGAGGACCCACUCAGAGGAUAUGAUAAACGCAAGGAAGAUCGGCCAAAAUGCAUUCAUGGUGAGGACUGCUUGGUCCAGAUGAUGACCAAGGGGAUAGAUGGAGGUUGUCGUUUCUUCAAAUGCCCGCAAGUGGGUCGAUCCUCC